GAGGGUGUAGCUCAGUGGUAGAGCACGUGCUUAGCAUGCACGAGGUCCUGGGUUCAAUCUCCCUUACCUCCA
rnacentral:tRNA from 1 species